GACGAACGCUGGCGGCAUGCCUAAUACAUGCAAGUCGAGCGAACAGAUGAAGUGCUUGCACUUCUGACGUUAGCGGCGAACGGGUGAGUAACACGUAAGGAAUCUACCUAUAAGCGGGGGAUAACAUUCGGAAACGGGUGCUAAUACCGCAUAAUAUCUUCUUCCGCAUGGAAGAAGAUUGAAAGACGGCUCUGCUGUCACUUAUAGAUGACCUUGCGGUGCAUUAGUUAGUUGGUGGGGUAACGGCCUACCAAGACGAUGAUGCAUAGCCGACCUGAGAGGGUGAUCGGCCACAUUGGGACUGAGACACGGCCCAAACUCCUACGGGAGGCAGCAGUAGGGAAUCUUCCGCAAUGGGCGAAAGCCUGACGGAGCAAUGCUGCGUGAGUGAAGAAGGCCUUCGGGUCGUAAAACUCUGUUAUAAGAGAAGAACAAAUUGUAGAGUAACUGCUACAGUCUUGACGGUAUCUUAUCAGAAAGCCACGGCUAACUACGUGCCAGCAGCCGCGGUAA
rnacentral:rRNA from 1 species